GACGAACGCUGGCGGCGUGCUUAACACAUGCAAGUCGAACGGUGAAGCGCCUUCCUUUUUGGUGGGUGUGGAUGAGUGGCGAACGGGUGAGUAACACGUGAGUAACCUGCCCCCUUCUUCUGGAUAACCGCAUGAAAGUGUGGCUAAUACGGGAUAUUCUGGGUCUGUCGCAUGAUGGGUCUGGGAAAGAUAUUGUUUCGGUGGGGGAUGGGCUCGCGGCCUAUCAGCUUGUUGGUGGGGUGAUGGCCUACCAAGGCGGUGACGGGUAGCCGGCCUGAGAGGGUGGACGGUCACACUGGGACUGAGACACGGCCCAGACUGCUACGGGAGGCAGCAGUGGGGAAUAUUGCACAAUGGGCGCAAGCCUGAUGCAGCGACGCCGCGUGAGGGAUGGAGGCCUUCGGGUUGUGAACCUCUUUCGCCAGUGAAGCAGGCCUGCCUCGUUUGUGGGUGGGUUGACGGUAGCUGGAUAAGAAGCGCCGGCUAACUACGUG
rnacentral:rRNA from 1 species